GCUGGGCAUGGUGGCGUGUGCCUGUAAUCCCAGCUACUCGGGAGGCUGAGGGAGGAGAAUCGCUUGAACCCAGGAAGCAGGGGUUGCAGUGAGCUGAGAUUACGCCACUGCACUCCAACCUGGGUGACAAGAGCGAGAUUCCAUCUCAA
rnacentral:SRP_RNA from 2 species